rnacentral:rRNA from 1 species
CACAAUGCGGAACAAUGUUUUGCAAUUGGAUUGAGAACAACGUACAAACCUUAUCGAUAAACAAUUGGAGGGCAAGUCUGGUGCCAGCAGCCGCGGUAAUUCCAGCUCCAAUAGCGUAUAUUAACGUUGUUGCAGUUAAAAAGCUCGUAGUUGAAAUGAAGGGUAGUUGUGUAAUGAAUACAUUCGUGUAUUUUGUUAUUCUACUACCCUCCUUCUAAAUUCGAUAUAUGAGUAUUAAUUUACUUGUAUAUGGUUUUAGACAUUUACUGUGAGAAAAUUAGAGUGUUCAAAGCAGGCAUUUGCUUGAAUAUAUUAGCAUGGAAUAAUCAUGUAUGAUUUUCAUGAUGUAUUUGAUUGGUUUGGUUCAUGAGAAUAAGAUUAAAAGGGACAGUUGGGGGUAUUCAUAUUCAAUAGUCAGAGGUGAAAUUCUCGGAUUUAUGGAA